UUCCUCCAUAGAAACCUUCCAUAGAGAUUCUGUUACUUAGCUCCGUUAAUCCAUGUGAGUUUUGUAAAUAAGUAUGCUUAUGGUGUGUUUACUCAUGUAUUAGCAUAUAUUAGUGCUCAUGGUUUGUAUUUAAGUUUGCUUAAGCUCAUGUAUUAGCAUAUCUCUAAUAACAAUAAAGGGUUUGUUAGCAUAUCUCAAUACUAAGGUGAACGCAAGC
rnacentral:lncRNA from 1 species